rnacentral:rRNA from 1 species
UACAGAGGGGGCAAGCGUUAUUCGGAAUUAUUGGGCGUAAAGGGCGCGUAGGCGGCUUUUCAAGUGGCGGGUGAAAACCCUCGGCUUAACCGAGGAACUGCCUGCCAGACUGGAAGGCUUGAGGCCGGGAGAGGUGAGUGGAAUUCCCAGUGUAGCGGUGAAAUGCGUAGAUAUGCGGAGGAACACCGAUGGCGAAGGCAAUCCCCUGGGCCUGCACUGACGCUCAUGCACGAAAGCGUGGGGAGCAAACAGG